rnacentral:ncRNA from 14 species
AUGAAAAUAAUCUUAGACAUUACUUAGAUGUAAGGCCGAAGAAGCAAAAAAAAGAUUUUAUCUUAAUCUUUUUUGAAACUGACAGGCAAAAGGAAGAUUGUUUGACG